rnacentral:rRNA from 1 species
UACAGAGGUGGCAAGCGUUGUUCGGAUUUACUGGGCGUAAAGGGCGCGUAGGCGGCCAGCACAAGUCAGUUGUGAAAUCUCCGAGCUUAACUCGGAAAGGUCAACUGAUACUGUGCGGCUAGAGUGCAGAAGGGGCAACUGGAAUUCUUGGUGUAGCGGUGAAAUGCGUAGAUAUCAAGAGGAACACCUGCGGCGAAGGCGGGUUGCUGGGCUGACACUGACGCUGAAGCGCGAAAGCUAGGGGAGCGAACGGG